rnacentral:rRNA from 1 species
UACGAAGGGGGCUAGCGUUGCUCGGAAUCACUGGGCGUAAAGCGCACGUAGGCGGAUUGUUAAGUCAGGGGUGAAAUCCUGGAGCUCAACUCCAGAACUGCCUUUGAUACUGGCGAUCUUGAGUUCGGGAGAGGUGAGUGGAACUGCGAGUGUAGAGGUGAAAUUCGUAGAUAUUCGCAAGAACACCAGCGGCGAAGGCGGCUCACUGGCCCGAUACUGACGCUGAGGUGCGAAAGCGUGGGGAGCAAACAGG